rnacentral:miRNA from 1 species
UGUGGAUGGAGGAGGAGUCCCCAGG